CUCAAAGUUGCUACGUUCUCGUGCCA
rnacentral:piRNA from 1 species